GACGAACGCUGGCGGCGUGCCUAAUACAUGCAAGUCGAACGCAGUGGGGACGGGUGAGUAAAAAGUGGGUAACCUCGCAUCAGAGGGGAUAACACUUGGAAACAGGUGCUAAACCGAUACUGAUGGAUGGACCCGGGGGGCAUUAGCUAGAUGGGGGGGUAACGGCUCACCAAGGCCACGAUGACUAGCCCGCCUGGGAGGUUGAUCGUCCACACUGGUACUGAGCCACGGCCCAGACUCCUACGGGAGGCAGCAGUAGGGAAUCUUCGGCAAUGGACGAAAGUCUUACCGAGCAACGCCGCAUGAGUGAAGAAGGUUUUCGGAUCGUAAAGCUCUGUUGUUAGAGAAGCGGUAUCUAACCAAAAAGCCACGGCUAACUACGUGCCAGCAGCCGCGGUAAUUC
rnacentral:rRNA from 1 species